CACGCAUAUUUCCUCCUUAAAAGAAAAGGCAGUUACACUGUUGAACUUGAUAAAGCACCAAAAUGUUACCAUCACUUUGCUGCCAUCUAAAAUAUUAGAGACGAAUUUGUAAGCAAAUAUAAGUGUAGAUAAUACAGUAUAUGUUGAAUCUAAAGAGACAGAAACACACAUAUAAAGCCAGUGAUGCCUCCCAAGACACACACACCAUCAAGGAGAGUAACUGAUGUUGCUGCGUAGAGGCAGCGUCAUCUGAACUCGAUACAAAUCCGUAUUGAAGGGAAGUACACAGAUGCACAUGCCGGAUGAACCCCUAAAACAUAAACAAAAACAAAAAUCAAGGAAGUUGGAGAACAUGCACAUCCCACAUUUAUUUGUUUAUUUCUAUCCCCAUUCACAGCUCUUUUAGUUUCAAACCAGCCAUAUACACAAACACACACACAGAGCUUUACAGUUCUCCUGCAAAACAUACAUUACACUGACAGGCAGACAAGGCAGACUUCAAACGCAAGAAAUAAAUAAAUUAAACAGAAGUAUGACAGGGAUUAAUUAGUAAAACGAGGGGAUAGAAGGAGACGCAAAACAGGAAGGAAAGAUGGAGUUUGGAGCUGAAAGAGAGGAAGCAGAGAGGGAGCCGCGGUGAUCUUUGGAAGGAGGCUGGAGGUGCAGGCAGCGAGACACUUCAAGUUUUACUAAAGCUGAUGUGGCACGCAGCAGAAACAGCCAAAAAGAAACUUCUCAGGUGUAAACAUGUGCAGGUUGCUCACUUUCGUGCAGGAUGAGCCGGAGCGACAUUCUUUUUUUUUUUUUUUUUACCCUUCCGAAUUUCCUGCACCGUCUUCUCUUCAUUAUUUGGGGAAGGGUGUGAGUGUGAACGCAAAUAUGCAAAUGAAACGGUUAUUAUUGCAUUGCUCAUCAAGCAGCGCGAAGCAGACAUUAAUAGGCUGAUGAAUAUGCAUGUGAAUUUGUUAAUUAAGUUAAUUAUUCUGCUGAAAAUGCAUUCGUCUUCCAAGGACAUCUUCCCCAGGAUUCCAACCUGCUCUGCUCAUUAGUCAUGCGAUAUUUUACACUGGGCACCGGGACAAGAACGAGGGGAGGGAGGGGCACCGAGGGGCCACCGAGGUUAAGACGUGUGCGAUAUAAGGGCAUUGUGGGUUUUUGAGUCCACUUAAGAACACGGAUUUGAGGGCAUCUGAGAGAGAUACGGUGGCGCGGCGAUGACGCCUAAUCAUUCAUCCGCUCUUCAAAAGUGAAAGGUCAGCGGAAGAGACAGAGCACGGCAGUCAGCUACAGAGGGGCGUUCACGUCUCUUGUAGCCAGACGUUCGUUCCAUUUCUGCUUUUUCCUCUUUUCCUCUCCAGUAAUUCCCCCUCUUCGCUGCUUUUCCUCUAAUUGCUUAUUAAAACCCUCUUAAAUGAACUUUUUGUGCCAACUUUCCAACACAUUAAUUAAUUGUUGUAGCCAAUUAAGUGUCGCUGUGCAAAUGAGCUUCAGCACAAAUGGUCCUGCAGGGCCCGCGCCCCCUCCCCCUCCCCCCUUUCUACACCCCUACCCUCUCUCUCACUGCUUUCCCAGCAGCCCCUCUGCCCUUAAAGAGGCAGCACCGGCAUGUGCAGGCGCCGAGGGGGAGACGAGGCAGUGAUGCUGCCGUGCUGAUCGAGCUUUUUGAACCGAAUUGAUAAGAAGAAGUGAGUGGAAUGGAGAUCACCGGAGUGCAGUGAGUGUGUCGCAAGUGACUGGAGUAUGGAAGACAUAAAGACACAUAAAGACACUCCAAGCAAAUCAGAGAAAAGGUUAUUGACAAGUAUAAGUAAGGGGAUGGAUACAGAAAAAUCUAAGGCAUUAAACAUACUCUGGAGUCCAGCUGCAUCCAUCAAAAAAUGUAUUUUUUUGAUGGAUUUAUGCCUCUUUUUUGUGGGAGAGAAGCAUAAAGAGACAUGGAAACUAAUAUCAACGCUCAACUUGAGACUAAUGGUCAAAUGGACGAAAGUUCUUCAGUCUGAUGAGACCAAAAUGGAGCUUCUUGGUAAUCAGAUAAGACACAGUUUGAUGGACACCAAACACUACACAUCACCACAAAAACACAACAUCCCCACUUUGAGGCAUGGUGGUGGCAGUACGAGUGGACCAGUCAAAGCCCAGACUUUGAUCCAAAAGAGAAUUUGUAGCUGGAGUGGAAAAGGGAUGUUCAAAGCUGACCCCCAAGCAACCUGACAGAGUUUGAACAGUUUUGCAAGGAAGAAUGGAGUAAAGUUAUCAAGUUCAGAUGUGCAAGUCUAAUUCAGACCAAAAGACAGUCUGUGCUGUGAGUGCAGCCAAAGGUGCGUCUGUGUUAGACAUUUUAGUAAAAGAUUUUUUUUUACCAAGUUUUCACUUUCACAUUAAAGAGUUUUUUGGUAAAAUGCCUUCAUCAAAAAAAGCCAAGCUUUUCCAUCAGAAAA